AACACAUGCAAGUCGAGGGGUAACGGAAGUAGCUUGCUACUAGACGACGACCGGCGCACGGGUGAGUAACGCGUAUGUAAUCUGCCUUGUACAGAGGGAUAGCCCAGAGAAAUUUGGAUUAAUACCUCAUAGUAUUACUGAAUCGCAUGAUUCGGUAAUUAAAGCUCCGGCGGUACAAGAUGAACAUGCGUGACAUUAGCUAGUUGGUAAGGUAACGGCUUACCAAGGCCACGAUGUCUAGGGGUUCUGAGAGGAUGAUCCCCCACACUGGUACUGAGACACGGACCAGACUCCUACGGGAGGCAGCAGUGAGGAAUAUUGGUCAAUGGACGCAAGUCUGAACCAGCCAUCCCGCGUGAAGGAUGACUGCCCUAUGGGUUGUAAACUUCUUUUAUAUGCAAAUAAACCUACUUUCGUGAAAGUAGCUGAAGGUAGCAUAUGAAUAAACACCGGCUAACUCCGUGCCAGCAGCCGCGGUAAUACGGAGGGUGUAAGCGUUAUCCGCAUUUAUUGGGUUUAAAGGGUACG
rnacentral:rRNA from 1 species